rnacentral:lncRNA from 1 species
UUUACACCCGUAUUUUGAAUUUCUCUAAUAGAUGGUUUGUUUAAACCCUAAAUUUUCCUUUAAGGUUUUUUCUUAUUAAUUGAAAACAAUCAUUUUUGUUUAAGAAUAAAUUCAAAAUACUGGUAAAAUUGCUAAGUCCCCAAGAGGUACCGAACUAUAAGUAACAUAUCCUAUACAUAUAGGUACAUAUUAUUAUAAGAUAAUCUACCAAGCGAAGUGAGGUUUUUCAUUUACUGUCUUAAACUCAAUGAUGUAUAAGUUGUAUAUGAUGUAUAAGUAGUAUAGGUACAAUAUAUAUAUAUACUUUUCAAAUUGCCCGCCAAAUCCAGAGAACUGUCAAUUGUCUAGAAGCUCCGAAGCAAAGUAUUUGGUUUUCUCUAGACGCAAGUACUUGAGACGCUGUGUCAGGUGAGGUGUUUGAAAAUUUUGUAACUUGAUUGCUUGAUUCUGUGGUGUGAAGGUGGUUAAACUUUUGUUUUAUUUUUUUUUGUUUUGUUUGUUUUUGUUGUUGCGAAUAUAUCGCAGAAAGUUUUUAGAUGAAGUAAUUUUAUGAUGAAGAUAACACAGAAAAUACAAGAGGGCAGCAUACUUUGUAAAACAGCUGUUACAAUUUGAAAUCAGCAUUUUGUUAAGUUGUUGUCUUGCAGGUAAAAAAAGUGACUUUUUAAAAAAAUUAUAUCUUGGAAACUAAAAAUUAUUUUUAUUUAUAAUUGAAACAUGUAAAAGUAUAGUACUCUCAAAAAAAUUUCAGCCAAAAAAUAUUCAUUUUUGUAGAGUUGACUGCAAUUUUUCGACAACAGCCCUUUUUUGCAGUGAGCAGCAUAACAAGUCCAGUCUCAUCUGAAACCAAAGUUUCUUGUAGUUUAUACCUCUGGCUAGUGAAUGAACAAAGGAUUUUUUAUUAGAUGAGGUCAUUUUUGUUUUAUAAAAAAAACUACUUUAAAAAUGAGAAAAAUUGGGGUCAAAAAUGUGUUUAAACUUAUGUAAAAUCUUCAAAUUUCAUUUUUUUUUUAAUUCCUUCGUUCAUAUUCUAGCCAGAGGUAUAAACUACAAGAAACUUUUUGAUUUCAGAUGAGACUGGACUUAGUAUGCUGCCAACGCAAAAAAACUUAAACUCUACAAAAAUGAAUAUUUUUGGCUGAAACUUUUUUUGAGACUACCUUAAGUACUAUACUUUUACAUGUUCCAAUUAUAAAUAAAAAUAAAUUUUAGUUUUCGAGAUAUAAUUUUUUUAAAAAGUCACUUUUUUUACCCACAAUACCUAUAUGUAACCCCUUAAAAAAAUGUUUGGAAGAAUAUGUUUGAUGGCCAAGAUGCAUACAUAUAUUUAGAAGCAAAGUUCCUGAUUUCUGUAGUAUAAUACAUAAUACCGAAGAGGAAGUAGCCCUAAGCGCCGGACUCCACUUGCGAUUUGUAGUUGUGAAGAUUGAACACAUUCUUUCAAAUAGAAGUCAAUCCAUGAUUAUUUAGUCACAAAUGGAUUGACUUGUAUUUGAAACAAUGUGUUCAAUCUUCCUGAUUACAAAUCGCAAGUGGAGUGCGGCGGUAAUAACACCAAAAUAUUCCAUAUAGGUCCAUAGAAGGUACACAGACAUUGAAAAAUUCCUGGAAUAUCCCCGAAAACAUGUUCCCUGAACAUCCCAGGAAAAUCCUGUGUCAGCAUUUUAAACAUUACCUGAAUGUCUUAUUGGAACAUUCCAUGAAUGUCCACAAAUGUUCUCUGGACAUUCAAAAUAUAUUUUGUAGACAUUCCCUGGAUAUACCAGAAAUACAGUGAUGAGCGCUCUAAUAACCGGCAAAAUAGCACAAAAGAUGUAUUAAGUAGUGAGAUAAAAAGACAUGAAACUAGUCGAGCUGGGAAAUUUAGCGAUAUUAACUUAUACAUUUAGAUUGUAUUGAUUGUGUACCACCUUCAGACGUAUCAGACGAGUUUGGAAACUACCACUGUCACAGUGACAGUUUUAGUUGACAUACUCCUCCGAUAUGUGUAAAGGUGGGAUCAAUAUAACGUAAAUUUAAAGGUUAAUUUCGCUAAAUUUCCCAGCUCGACUAGUUUCAUUUCUUUUUAUCUCACAACUAAAUAUGUUGCCCAUAUUUUGCCGGUUAUUAGGGCACUCAUCACUGUACAUCCUUGCUGAUGUGACAAUACCUCCUAUCUGUUUUUUCAUGAGUUUUGUAUGAGAGAUGGAAAAACAUGUUUUAAGGUCACCUCCUGUGUUCAUAUGUAAGUUUUGACUUGUUUUGUAGUUCAUACAUAGUUUAAUUUACUACAAAACAAGUCAAAAAAUAUCAUAUGAAAACAGGAGGUGACCCUAAGACAAGUUUUUAGUCUCUCUUACAAAACUCAUGAAAAAACAGAUAGGAUGUAUUAUUACAUCACUGACGAUAUGUGGCCAUACCAAAUAAUACAUCCUUGAUAAAUAUAAACAUUUUUAUUGAACAAAAUCUUUUCAUGCAUUUUUUCAAUGCAAUUUACUGAUAUUCCUAAAUAUUUCAAAAAGAUGUGUCACAUUUGCUGUGUAAACCUUUCUUUUGCCUUUCGUAGCCACAUAUUCCGUUUCCUUCCUGGUUUUUUGUAGACCACUUCUCUCAGCUGAUUCUAAAAAAAAUAAAAUAAAUGGUAAUUUUUCUAUCCUUUACAAUUAACAAUCAGAAGAAAUAUUAUUUACAGAUAAUGAUAUGCAUAAUAAUAAUAGGUUUGUUCUAGCAUCAGUUUGAAACCAUCAGCGAAUAGUGGACCAGCGCGAGUAGAGGGGAUCGCACUGGUGACUGUAUUAUGUUCUUUUACUGACCAACUGUUUGCUGAUAGUUUUUGACUAGUUUGACUGUUUGCUAGAACAAACCUAAUAAUAAUGAAUAUUUUGUAUUUUGACAAUGACAUCUGAUGUGGAAGUCAAAACAUUAAUAAAAUUAUUUUUUUCAUUUUAA